rnacentral:rRNA from 1 species
CGGGGUGCACCAGGCGGGAAAACUUUCCAAUGCCGGCAACGGCGAUAAGGGACCCUGGAGUCCCAGGUUACAAAUCUGGCGGUCGGGAUGCCUAAAAACCAUUGCAUACCAAGGCCCGGCCAAGACCGGUCCCAGCCGCCGCGGUAACCCCGGCGGCUGGAGUGGUAUCCGUUAUUAUUGGUUUUAAAGGGUCGGUAGCCGGCCGGGUAAUUCUCCUGGGAAUUUUGGCAGUCUAACUGUCAGGCUUUCGGGAGAUACUGCCUGGCUCGAAACCGGGAGAGGUGAGAGGUACUUCAGGGGUAGGGGUGAAAUCUUGUAAUCCCUGAAGGACCACCAGUGGCGAAGGCGUCUCACCAGAACGGACUUGACGGCAAGGGACGAAAGCUAGGGGCACGAACCGGAUUAGAUACCCGGGUAGUCCCAGCCGUAAACGAUACUCGCUAGGUGUCGGCCACGGUGCGACCGUGUUCGGUGCCGCAGGGAAGCCGUGAAGCGAGCCACCUGGGAAGUACGGCCGCAAGGCUGAAACUUAAAGGAAUUG